rnacentral:rRNA from 1 species
AAGGUCCCUAAUAUGUGCUCAGUGGUAAAGGAUGUGGUGUUGCUCAGACAGCCAGGAGGUUUGCUUAGAAGCAGCAAUCCUUAAAAGAAAGCGUAAUAGCUCACUGGUCAAGCGACACUGCGCCGAAAAUGUAACGGGGCUAAGCACAUUACCGAAGCUACGGACUUAUCAGCAAUGAUGAGUGGUAGGGGAGCACUCUGCCAACCUGUGAAGGUGUGUUGUGAAGCAUGCUGGAGGAAGCAGAGGAGAGUAUGUCGGCAUAAGUAGCGCAAAUACUGAUGAGAAGUCAGUACGCCGUAAACCUAAGGUUUCCUGGGGAAGGGACAUCCGCCCAGGGUUAGUCGGGCCUAAGAUGAGGCAGAAAGGCGUAAUCGAUGGACAGCUGGUUAAUAUUCCAGCACUUUCUGUAUGGCGUUUGACUGAAGGGGAGACGCAGUAGGAUAGUUCAAGCCUGGUGAUGGUUCAGGUCCAAGCGCAAAGGCUGUGUCAUAGGCAAAUCCGUGACACAUUAAGGCUGAAACGUGAUGGGGAAGGCUGUAAGAAGCUGAACUUGAGUGAUUCCACACUGACGAGAAAAGCCUCGUAGGGAGUCAUGCGGAAAACCGUACCGCAAACCGACACUGGUAGGUGAGUAGAAGAUACUAAGGCGAUCGAGUUAACCCUCGCUAAGGAACUCGGCAAAAUAACCCCGUAACUUCGGGAGAAGGGGUCCCUCCGCAAGGAGGGCGCAGUGAAGAGGCCCAGGCGACUGUUUACCAAAAACACAGGACUCUGCAAACUCGCAAGAGGAAGUAUAGGGUCUGACGCCUGCCCGGUGCCGGAAGGUUAACAGGAGGAGUCAACCGCAAGGUGAAGCUCUGAAUCGAAGCCCCGGUAAACGGCGGCCGUAACUAUAACGGUCCUAAGGUAGCGAAAUUCCUUGUCGGGUAAGUUCCGACCUGCACGAAUGGCGUAACGAUUUGAGCGCUGUCUCAACGAGGGGCACUGCGAAUUUGUGGUACCGGUGAAGACGCCGGUUGCCCGUGACUAGACGGAAAGACCCUGUGCACCUUUACUAUAGCUUGGCAGUGAGCUUUGGUGAUACAUGUGUAGGAUAGGUGGGAGGCUAUGAGAUUCAGUCGCUAGAUUGGAUGGAGCCGACGUUGAAAUACCACCCUUGUCUUACCGGGGCUCUAACCUGUCCCCGUUAUCCGGGGAAGGGACACUGUCUGGUGGGUAGUUUGACUGGGGCGGUCGCCUCCCAAAGAGUAACGGAGGCGUCCAAAGGUUCCCUCAGGCUGGUCGGAAA